rnacentral:lncRNA from 1 species
GGAACUUUGAUUUUUCAAAAACAAUGAAGAGGAAGACAAAGAGGUUAAAAGAUCCGAUGGAUAUCCGAUAGUGAUAUGGGUUUUUUGAUAUAGACUGGUUGGAUCUGUAAUUGUUUUAUUUUAGUGAGGAUAAGGUUGUAUUUUAACCAAUUUUCGAUUUUUUUAAUUAAUUUUUUUUUUUCCUUUUGGCCAAACCCUUAUGAGAAUAGAAGAAUGAGUCAAAGGGUACAAGAGAUUCAAGUGGAUGAAGGAUUUGAAUCUCUUGUGCCCUUUGACCAUAAUUUAUAUACUUGCCUACCCUUGUGUGUUCUAAGUACCCCUUGACUUAUAUUGACUAA